ensembl:lncRNA
GGCAAAGCAAAUAGCUGUUUAAUUUUUUCUCUCUGACAAUCAGAAUCAAGCUCAGUUCUUCAAGACUAUUAUGAUUUCUUCAGCUUUCCAGAUUUUACUCCCUCUGAUGAGCACUAUCAAAAAACAAUGAAUUCCUCAUGGAUUGAGGGGGACUAAGAUCUGCAUCUAUGCUAUGAAUCACCCAGCAGAUACAUGGAUAUAGAACAAAGAAAGUUAAUGAAGAUCUCCAGAGAUGGUCAUCAUUAUAUUUCCACUUCCUAAUUAAGGCUUAAGUGUUUCCUUUUGCUUUGAAGAAACAGAUACGCAGCUUCUUAUCAGGAUCACGUACUUAUAUAAGACAAAAAGAGCUCCAACAUGUUACUUCUGGAAAUGCCCACACAUUUACAUUUUCCGAAGCUAUAUCCUCAGAACCACUCCCAGUUUACACCGAUGCUGAUAUUGUCCUAAGAAAGCUAUACUGAUUUGCACCAGACAAUCUGUUUUGGUCUUCGAAUUCAACAGGGUCAUUCUUGCUUAUCACUUUUAAAACUGGGCUGUGAGAGGAAGGAAUUGGAAGAACAGGGCCUCUGAUUCUCUAACAUUUUCUACAACCAGAGGUAAUCUUAGAUGUGGAGUGAAUGAAGUGAAGUCUGUUAUCAAUCCAUAACAUCUGCUGCAGUGUCAAGUGAUGAAAUGGGUGACUCCAGAGCCCAAGACAGCUGGGAUGGCUUUCUUAAUGCAGUAGGGACAAAAAAAGAAAAAAAGAAGCAAAACAAAACAAAACAAAACAGGAAAAAAAAAAAAAAAGAAUAAGAAGAAAGAAAUCUGACCACUAUGAACAAUGCAUUUAAUUCCCUCUUGUAUAUGUGGGAGAGAGGGCAUGCAGACUUGUGGAACUGGUUCCAAUCUCACUGUUGGUGAUGAGGUGGAGAAGAUGCGUUGCUUCUUACCAGGAGACUGGAAGAACCCAAAUGAAGAUGAAUAGAUUGUCUUACUUCAGUACGAAUCAUAGACUGUCUUGGGCUGGAAGGGACACUAAAGAUCAUCUAAUUCCAACCUUCUUGUUGAGAACAAAUUGCUGCAGACUGCAAAAAGGACAGAUUCUCUUGGGAUUCCUCAAGCAUAUUGCACCUAGUUACUAACCAGGAUAUCACAGGAUACACAGAUAGCAUAAAUGUAGUAUAUGGAUACUACACUCAUGAAAUGAGAUCAUGUCCAAGGAGGGAAGAUGAGUUGUUUGUGGAAUUCAGGGUACUAAAUAAGAAGAUGAAAGAGUAACUAUCAUCAAGAUUUAUAAAGAAAUGUGUUCUCAGUAUCUCUUCUACAGUCA